CAGAAUCCAACUCAUUGACUUCGCAAUUGGCUGUUAGUUUAUUUACGAUAAAAAGAUCUGAAGCAAUUAUAUAUCCACAAAUUGCUUCUUCUUUUUCCUUUUUUUUUUUUUUUUUUUUCUUUUGUUAACAUCAAAUUGGAAAUUAGAAAACUGGAAAUAGCUAUAUGAGUAUAGGACACAUCACACAUCACACAUCAUCCAUCCAUAAUCAGGCUUUCAAUUUAAUUUCAUGCUGAUAGAGGAUACUGACACACUCGUAGCAUGGUUUUGGAUAAAAUAUUAUAGUUACUGUCCAAACACUUGUAAACAACCCAAGAUAUGAAGAUACCAAAAGCAAAUUUAUGUAUUUUGAGCCCAUAGAUAAAUAUACCAAAUACAUCCGACGAGAUUAAAACACAAGGUCUAGCUAGAGUCAUGCAACGCAGAUCAUACAAAAUUACAAACUAAUCUUUAUUCAAUCGAAAGAAAUCAGCAAGAAAAAAAAAAAAAAAUCAGCAAGAAGCUAAAACUGAAAUCUUCAUGCUAAUAUUGCAAAAAGUGUUUUAUACUUAAGAAG
rnacentral:lncRNA from 1 species